rnacentral:rRNA from 1 species
UACGGGGGGGGCAAGCGUUGUUCGGAAUUACUGGGCGUAAAGGGCUCGUAGGUGGCCAACUAAGUCAGACGUGAAAUCCCUCGGCUUAACCGGGGAACUGCGUCUGAUACUGGAUGGCUUGAGUUCGGGAGAGGGAUGCGGAAUUCCAGGUGUAGCGGUGAAAUGCGUAGAUAUCUGGAGGAACACCGGUGGCGAAGGCGGCAUCCUGGACCGACACUGACGCUGAGGAGCGAAAGCCGGGGAGCAAAACGGGG